rnacentral:rRNA from 1 species
UACGUAGGGGGCAAGCGUUAUCCGGAUUUACUGGGUGUAAAGGGGGCGCAGACGGCGAUGCAAGCCAGGAGUGAAAGCCCGGGGCCCAACCCCGGGACUGCUCUUGGAACUGCGUGGCUGGAGUGCAGGAGGGGCAGGCGGAAUUCCUGGUGUAGCGGUGAAAUGCGUAGAUAUUAGGAGGAACACCGGUGGCGAAGGCGGCCUGCUGGACUGCAACUGACGUUGAGGCCCGAAAGCGUGGGGAGCAAACAGG